rnacentral:rRNA from 1 species
UAUGGUUACUAGCUGUUCGGAGCACAAUAGUGCAUUGAAGUGGUUAAGCGAAAGUGAUAAGUAACCCACCUGGGGAGUACGUUUGCAAGAAUGAAACUCAAAAGGAAUUGACGGGGGCCCGCACAAGCGGUGGAGCAUGUGGUUUAAUUCGAUGAUACGCGAGGAACCUUACCAAGGCUUAAAUGCAUAUUGACAGUUCACGAAAGUGAAUUUUCUUCGGACAAUUUGCAAGGUGCUGCAUGGUUGUCGUCAGCUCGUGCCGUGAGGUGUCAGGUUAAGUCCUAUAACGAGCGCAACCCCUGUGGUUAGUUACCAGCAUGUAAAGAUGGGGACUCUAGCCAGACUGCCGGUGCAAACCGUGAGGAAGGUGGGGAUGACGUCAAAUCAUCACGGCCCUUACGCCUUGGGCUACACACGUGUUACAAUGGUAUAUACAAUGAGCAGCCAUCUGGUGACAGAGCGCUAAUCUAAAAAGUAUAUCACAGUUCGAAUCGGAGUCUGCAACUCGACUCUGUGAAGCUGGAAUCGCUAGUAAUCGCACAUCAGCCAUGGUGCGGUGAAUACGUUCCCGGGCCUUGUACACACCGCCCGUCAAGCCAUGGAAGCUGGGAGUGCCUGAAGUCCGUAGCCGAAAGGAGCGGCCUAGGGUAAAACUAGUAACUGGGGCUAAGUCGUAACAAGGUA